rnacentral:rRNA from 1 species
CAGUCGCCGCGGGAAUACGGAGGGUGCAAGCGUUAAUCGGAAUUACUGGGCGUAAAGCGCACGCAGGCGGUUUGUUAAGUCAGAUGUGAAAUCCCCGAGCUUAACUUGGGAACUGCAUUUGAAACUGGCAAGCUAGAGUCUUGUAGAGGGGGGUAGAAUUCCAGGUGUAGCGGUGAAAUGCGUAGAGAUCUGGAGGAAUACCGGUGGCGAAGGCGGCCCCCUGGACAAAGACUGACGCUCAGGUGCGAAAGCGUGGGGAGCAAACAGGAUUAGAGACCCGCGUAGUCCCUGUCUCUUAUAC